GAUGAAGAACGUAGCGAAAUGCGAUAAGUAAUGUGAAUUGCAGAAUUCAGUGAAUCAUCGAAUCUUUGAACGCACAUUGCGCCCGCCAGUAUUCUGGCGAGCAUGCCUGUUCGAGCGUCAUUUCAACCAUCAAGCCCCAGGCUUGUGUUGGAGCCCUGCGGCUGCCGCAGCCUCCCAAAACCAGUGGCGGGCUCGCUAUCACACCGAGUGCAGUAGUUUACUCUUCGCUCAGGGCGUGUGGCGGGUGCUAGCCGUGAAACCCCCAAAUUCUCAAGGUUGACCUCGGAUCAGGUAGGAAUACCCGCUGAACUUAAGCAUAUCAAUAAGCGGAGGA
rnacentral:misc_RNA from 1 species